rnacentral:lncRNA from 1 species
AAGUCCCCCGAGCUCCUUCAUAGAGCUCCCCGAUCGAGGGUCCCAUUUUGGAGGUUCGUCCCGAAGGGGCACCCGGGGCUGAAGGGAGGAGGAGAAAGAAGACCCUGGCUCCGAGGAGUCGCAGUCGCAGGGCUGCCGCCGAGGGGGCCGACGGCUUCGAGGAAGACCUGAGGGAAAAUCCCUUCAAUAAUAGAGACUUAAUAAAGAGGCUGGUCAAAGG